rnacentral:rRNA from 1 species
AGUGAACGCUGGCGGUAGGCCUAACACAUGCAAGUCGAACGGCAGCACAGGAGAGCUUGCUCUCUGGGUGGCGAGUGGCGGACGGGUGAGGAAUACAUCGGAAUCUACUCUGUCGUGGGGGAUAACGUAGGGAAACUUACGCUAAUACCGCAUACGACCUACGGGUGAAAGCAGGGGACCUUCGGGCCUUGCGCGAUUGAAUGAGCCGAUGUCGGAUUAGCUAGUUGGCGGGGUAAAGGCCCACCAAGGCGACGAUCCGUAGCUGGUCUGAGAGGAUGAUCAGCCACACUGGAACCGAGACACGGUCCCGACUCCUACGGGAGGCAGCAGUGGGGAAUAUUGGACAAUGGGCGCAAGCCUGAGCCAGCCAUACCGCGUGGGUGAAGAAGGCCUUCGGGUUGUAAAGCCCUUUUGUUGGGAAAGAAAUCCAGCUGGCUAAUACCCGGUUGGGAUGACGGUACCCAAAGAAUAAGCACCGGCUAACUUCGUGCCAGCCGCCGCCGUAA